rnacentral:rRNA from 1 species
UACGUAGGGUGCAAGCGUUGUCCGGAAUUAUUGGGCGUAAAGAGCUCGUAGGCGGUUCGUCGCGUCGGCUGUGAAAACCCGGAGCUCAACUCCGGGCCUGCAGUCGAUACGGGCGGACUUGAGUGUUGCAGGGGAGACUGGAAUUCCUGGUGUAGCGGUGAAAUGCGCAGAUAUCAGGAGGAACACCGGUGGCGAAGGCGGGUCUCUGGGCAUGAUCUGACGCUGAGGAGCGAAAGUGUGGGGAGCGAACAGG